CUUCAAUCCAAGUUCCAGUCUCAGAUAGACCUUCACUCUGACAACCUGAUAAAGCUGUUCCAAAAGAGAGGGGGACAAAUAGGGAAAGGUCUCCAAGCAAUCAUUGAGAAAAUGACUGAUAUGCUGGCCAGGAGUGUCUCCUGAAGGGACUUUGUAUGUACAUGGGGGAAGAUCCUGAAAACCUUGUGCAGGAAUAUGUGGGCAUGGAUGAAGUUGAUGUCAGUGAAUCCAUUGAAGAGACAACUGUCGGGAUUUACGUUCUGAGAGAACAUGAAUCAAGUGAACCGGAG